CUUAGGGUGAUUAAAUUGCUGUAAUUAAAUGUAUCCCCAGCCUCCCAAGCAUUGUUUCUGUGCUGCUAAGGCUGCUAGAUAAGGCUGGGGUUGAGCUGUGACACCUGGGCUAUAUAUAGAAGGUAACAGCUUGCUGCUCUUGGGAACAUUUGGGUUCUUGCACUCUGGUUUGUGACUUCCAUGAAAGAAUUGGAGGAAGAGGAUAAUAACAGCUCCAAAGGGCACUGCUGCUUUGAGACUGCUUAACACUGCCUUUUUAAAAAUAGUUUUAUCCACAGCAAAACACGAUUUUUCUUUCUUUGGAUGAGAUGCAAGGGCUCCUUGUCAGAGAGAAUUUGAGAAAGAACAAAGAUGAAUCGCUCUUAAGGCUUGAGGAUGUUUGGACAUUUAGGAACGGUUUAAUUGAAUGGAAGUGAGAAGUUGUUAAAAUACAGGCAGAAAAGACUGACACGGGGUUAAAUCUGUGUGCAUCUAUAAUCCGUGACCAUAACAAACGAAAAAGCUGUCAAAACAGGGAAGGUUGGAAUUGCCCUGUGUCUAGACAAAAAAAAAAUAAAAACCAAAUUUGAGCAAGACAGAGAAAAGUGAUGUUUAGAGCUUUUUGGCAAAAGAAGCUACAGCUGCAGAACUCAAUCCCAUGAAGGGCUGUGUUCGUCUGGGCUAAGCUGCACUGUCAGAUCAAUACAGAUCUGAGCUCUGUAGCAUGAGUCAAAUCAAAAUUGUCUGUCCAGGCACUUGAGACUUUGGGUUCUUUGAAAACCAAACCCCAGAUAAUAAAUUGGGCUGCUUGAAUCUCUUUGCAGCAUUAUUCAGAAAAAUGUCUAAAAUAUCAUUGUCCAAAGAGUUCCUUAAUAUCAAAUGUUCUCUGAAAACAAAACCAGUAAGUAAAAAACAUGUAUAAAAUGCUACUCUUUUGUUCCAGGGGAAGGCCAGGGGAAGUGGAGCCCUUCCUCUUUGGAAGGUGUGUGUUUGAUUUGGUGCUGCUCAGAUGCCAUGGUGACAGGCACUGCAGAAAACAAACCCCAAGCACCAGAUAAUCUGGACCUACUAUCUAGGUCUUGGCACUUAAGGCUCUACUUUACUGGCUUAAAAGACUUCUUGAAGCCAUGAGUUCCUCAGCUGCUGAGCUGUAGAAUGUGUCAUGCAAUAUAGGCAGUGUAACUAAUCACCCUCAGUCAUCAUCUUGUUUAACUGAAUUAGCUUAAGGCCUCAUGCUCUGAGGUGUAUUUUCAUGUUUGAGUGUUUUCUGAACCAGUUUGGAUUUUUUUUAACCUCCUUAAAAUGCAGUGCAAUGAAUUUCACUUGCUGAAAAUGUAUAUAUAAUAAAUGUAUAUAAUGAAAUGCUAAUAUUGUGUAG
rnacentral:lncRNA from 1 species